CUUAAGAUAAAUUUAAGAUGAUACCUGCUCAAUGACUCUUAAAUAAAUAACUAUAAAACGUUAAAAAAGAGUUUAAAAGACGCAGUAAUCUAACUGUGAUAAUGUAGCAUAAUCACUUGCCAUUUAAUUGAUGGAUAGUAUGAAAGGUUUAACGAAUCCCCUCCUUUCUCUAAAAAAAGAAAUUAUGAAAUUAAAAUAAUAGUUAAGAUGCUAUUUAAAAUUGUAAGACGAAAAGACCCUAUAGAGCUUAACUAUAACUUUUCUUAAAAUCAAGAAUUAUAAUUCUAAAAAAAGAAAGAAAGGUAGUUUAGUUGGGGCGACUCUCUUUUAAAAUUAACAAAGACAAGCAACAUUAAUACAUAAUUUAUUGUAAAAUUUAUAAAUUUAACAAUUACUAACGUAGGCUAUAAUGAUCUGUUAAAUUUUAAUAAUAAUUUUAACAAUUAAUAAAUAAAAGUUACCUUAGGGAUAACAGAACUAUUUUAUCCUAAAGACCUUAUUAAAGAUAAAGUUUGUUACCUCAAUGUUGAAUUAAGAUAUCCUAACAGUGCAAAAGCUGUCAAAGGUAGGUCUGUUCGACCUUUAAAAU
rnacentral:rRNA from 1 species